rnacentral:rRNA from 1 species
UACGUAGGGGGCUAGCGUUGUCCGGAAUCAUUGGGCGUAAAGAGCGUGUAGGCGGCCCGGUAAGUCCGCUGUGAAAGUCGGGGGCUCAACCCUCGAAUGCCGGUGGAUACUGUCGGGCUAGAGUGCGGAAGAGGCGAGUGGAAUUCCUGGUGUAGCGGUGAAAUGCGCAGAUAUCAGGAGGAACACCGGUGGCGAAGGCGGGUCUCUGGGCCGAUACUGACGCUGGAGGAGCGAAAGCGUGGGGAGCGAACAGG